rnacentral:rRNA from 1 species
UACGUAGGUGGCGAGCGUUUUCCGGAAUUACUGGGCGUAAAGGGCGUGUAGGCGGCUUUUUAAGUCAGACGUGAAACCCCUGGGCUUAACCCAGGACCUGCGUUUGAAACUGGAGAGCUUGAGGACCGGAGAGGACAGUGGAAUUCCCAGUGUAGCGGUGAAAUGCGUAGAUAUUGGGAGGAACACCAGUGGCGAAGGCGACUGUCUGGACGGCACCUGACGCUGAGGCGCGAAAGCCAGGGGAGCAAACGGG